CACGGGGGCUAUUUAUCGGGUACGGGUUGGGAAACCAAACCCCGGAAAAGAAUUUGAGACAAGUUUCCGGCCCUUAGGGGGCGCAGCGGGCGGAAACCUUUUCCAUUGCACGCAAGUGCAAUAAGGGGACCCCAAGUGCGAGGGCAUAUUGUCCUCGCUUUUCACGACUGUAAGGCGGUCGUGGAAUAAGAGCUGGGCAAGACCGGUGCCAGCCGCCGCGGUAAUACCGGCAGCUCAAGUGAUGACCGAUAUUAUUGGGCCUAAAGCGUCCGUAGCCGGCCACGAAGGUUCAUCGGGAAAUCCGCCAGCUCAACUGGCGGGCGUCCGGUGAAAACCACGUGGCUUGGGACCGGAAGGCUCGAGGGGUACGUCCGGGGUAGGAGUGAAAUCCCGUAAUCCUGGACGGACCACCGAUGGCGAAAGCACCUCGAGAAGACGGAUCCGACGGUGAGGGACGAAAGCUAGGGUCUCGAACCGGAUUAGAUACCCGGGUAGUCCUAGCUGUAAACGAUGCUCGCUAGGUGUGACACAGGCUACGAGCCUGUGUUGUGCCGUAGGGAAGCCGAGAAGCGAGCCGCCUGGGAAGUACGUCCGCAAGGAUGAAACUUAAAGGAAUUGGCGGGGGAGCACUACAACCGGAGGAGCCUGCGGUUUAAUUGGACUCAACGCCGGACAUCUCACCAGCUCCGACUACAGUGAUGACGAUCAGGUUGAUGACCUUAUCACGACGCUGUAGAGAGGAGGUGCAUGGCCGCCGUCAGCUCGUACCGUGAGGCGUCCUGUUAAGUCAGGCAACGAGCGAGACCCGCACUUCUAAUUGCCAGCAGCAGUUUCGACUGGCUGGGUACAUUAGAAGGACUGCCGCUGCUAAAGCGGAGGAAGGAACGGGCAACGGUAGGUCAGUAUGCCCCGAAUGAGCUGGGCUACACGCGGGCUACAAUGGUCGAGACAAUGGGUUGCUAUCUCGAAAGAGAACGCUAAUCUCCUAAACUCGAUCGUAGUUCGGAUUGAGGGCUGAAACUCGCCCUCAUGAAGCUGGAUUCGGUAGUAAUCGCAUUUCAAUAGAGUGCGGUGAAUACGUCCCUGCUCCUUGCUACUACUACGCCG
rnacentral:rRNA from 1 species